rnacentral:rRNA from 1 species
ACGGGAGGCAGCAGUGGGGGAUAUUGCACAAUGGGGGAAACCCUGAUGCAGCGACGCCGCGUGAGUGAAGAAGUAUUUCGGUAUGUAAAGCUCUAUCAGCAGGGAAGAAAAUGACGGUACCUGACUAAGAAGCUCCGGCUAAAUACGUGCCAGCAGCCGCGGUAAUACGUAUGGAGCAAGCGUUAUCCGGAUUUACUGGGUGUAAAGGGAGCGUAGACGGCGAGGCAAGUCUGAUGUGAAAGCCAUGGGCUCAACCCAUGAACUGCAUUGGAAACUGUCUUGCUAGAGUGUCGGAGAGGUAAGCGGAAUUCCUAGUGUAGCGGUGAAAUGCGUAGAUAUUAGGAGGAACACCAGUGGCGAAGGCGGCUUGCUGGACGACAACUGACGCUGAGGCGCGAAAGCGUGGGGAGCAAACAGGAUUAGAUACCCUGGUA